UACAGAGGUCCCAAGCGUUGUUCGGAUUCACUGGGCGUAAAGGGUGCGUAGGUGGUCGGGUAAGUCUGAUGUGAAAUCUUCGAGCUCAACUCGAAAAUGGCAUUGGAUACUAUUCGGCUGGGGGGUUGGAAGGGGGACUGGAAUUCUCGGUGUAGCAGUGAAAUGCGUAGAUAUCGAGAGGAACACCGGUGGCGAAGGCGAGUCCCUGGACAAUCCCUGACACUGAGGCACGAAAGCUAGGGGAGCAAACAGG
rnacentral:rRNA from 1 species